rnacentral:rRNA from 1 species
AUACAUAGGGGGCAAGCGUUGUCCGGAAUGACUGGGCGUAAAGGGUGUGUAGGCGGUUUCGCAAGUUGGAAGUGUAAUACCUAGAGCUUAACUCAGGUGCUGCUUCCAAAACUGCGGGACUUGAGUGUCGGAGAGGAAAAUGGAAUUCCUAGUGUAGCGGUGGAAUGCGUAGAUAUUAGGAGGAACACCAGAGGCGAAAGCGAUUUUCUGGACGACAACUGACGCUGAGGCACGAAAGCGUGGGGAGCAAACAGGAUUAGAUACCCUGGUAGUCCACGCUGUAAACGAUGGAUACUAGGUGUAGGGGGUAUCGACUCCCUCUGUACCGUAGCAAACGCAAUAAGUAUCCCGCCUGGGGAGUACGGCCGCAAGGUUGAA